UGUGGAUCGGACGGGUUUUGUUCACAGGAUUACCUGGUAGUCCAGGGGCCAAAGGUGGACCUGGAGUUAAAAAGGCGAGCCUGGUCCCAGAGGUCAUGCCGGCAUGUCCGGAGGGAGACCGAGGUCAGCGCGGUCCAGUGGGUCCACAAGGAUUAGUCGGAAAGGCUGGAAGCAAAGAAGAGAGGACCGAUGGGUGUUCCUGGUGCUCAAGGUCUGAGUGGAACCAAAAGAGACAAGGUCUUGGGAGAUGUCGUCCACCAGCUCGCUCUCGGAGCACUCGUGGGCCAUGGCUUUGAACAACUUGCAGGCCACCAGGGCCUUGGCCAUGGCCUCCUCGCCACGCUGCCAGAGGAAGAGCGACAUCUUCUGGCGCUUCAUCAGCACGGCCCACAGCAUCAGCUCGUGGAAGGGGUACUUGAAGCGACACACCUCCGGGUCGUCCACGUCGAUCUCCACCUCUUCCUCCUUCUUCUUCUUGGCCUUCUUCUUGCCUUUGGUCCGAGGUUCGUCGUCCUGACAAAACACCAAUGAUACUCUCACGGCUCUUUAUUUUGGAUUCCAUGACGAGUGUUUCACCGCCAGGUUG